CUGGAUUUGAAAUCAGGUAUUCUUUUUUCCAUUUUUCAUUUAGAAUAUUUUCCCAUAGUUACAUUAUUCCUGCUCUUUCCCUCCCCUCCUCUCUGCCUCUUCCCAGAGCCAAUGAGCAAUUCUACUGGGUUUUACAUUCAUCAUUGUUCAAAAACCUAUUUCCACAUUUGCAAUAAAGUGAUCAUUUAAAGUCAAUAUCCCCAGUCAUAUACCCAUUGAACCAUGUGAUCAGUCAUAUGUUUUUCUUCUGCAUGACGUCAGGUCUUCUCAAAUGGCCAUUACUUAAUUGGUACUGUUUAUCAUGAGAAAAAAAACAACAACAAAGGUCACUGGGUCAAUGAAAAUGACAAAUGAAUGACAAGUAUUUACUAGUUUUUUCUCCUUAUCUUAUUUCAUAGGGCUAUGUGGGAAAUGAAGAGGAGUUUAAAGACAGAUUUAAAGAUUUAAAGAAUUUAAAGACCUGCAAUUUUUCCAAGAUGAAUAUCUUCUUAACAGUGAAAUCUCAUGGGAUUUAUCUUAAACUCCAAAUCUCCAUAAAAAGAAUGAUUUUUAAGGGACAGAGUUUUAAACAUAGGAAUAACUGUGAUGUGGCAAAGUAGAUGGAGGACAUGUCCUACUGUCAAGAGGAACUGAGUUUGAGUUCUACUUCUCAUAUGUUCUCAUGAUUGGGCAAGUCAUUUAACUUUUUCAUCCUCCCAAGCAAUUCUCUAGUACCAUAAGUUGCCAAUUCAUAUUUGUGGAAGGAGUUUUCACAUUAAGAUUUCCAUGAAUCACUGAAGUCAUUGAUCUGGACACCCCUCACCAUCACCCCUGCCAAGAAAUCAAGUCUUAAUGGUGGGAUCUGGGCCAUUAAUGAAAAGUGAAUGGAGAGAUUUUGAGGUCUAAGAGCCUGUUUGAGAUUCCUUAAAUCAUCCCACAUAAGUAACUGACUACUCUGCCAACUCAUGAGGCUGACCAUGCUUCUAAGUGGUGACAGAAUGAUUUAUUUUCUCACAUUAAAUACCUUCUUCAUUUAAUCUUUUAGCUUUUAAUCUUAGCUGCUUCUCAGAAAUUAGUUAAUGAAUAUAGUUCUAUUGUUUGGCCUUACCAGCUAAGUCACUAACUACAGUACCUCAGUUCCCUCAUCUGGAAAAUGAGAGGGUGGGAUUCGAUGACAUCUGAGAUCCUUUUCAACCUCGUAUCUAUGAUCCUAUUAUGCCUGUGAGUGGCUAAAAAUGACCUGACCUAUUUCUCAUGUUUACUAUUCAUUGGUAUGCUUAAUGUAGAAAUGCCUCUUGAAUAUGCUCCUUCCAUAUCAUGAUUCCAGGCAAGAAUAACUUUUCUUUUGUUGUUUAGGAUUUCUAUAAGGUAAAUUUUACCAUCCUGCAUAAAAUUACUAAUUUACCUUUUGUUGUUGUUGUUAUACCUUCUAUAUAUACAUGAGUAGAGGCUUCCGAAGCCAAAGGAUUUUAUUAUUGUCACUCUUGUUAGGUAUUAUCUCCUAAGCAUUAUUAGUUCUCUUCAUUGACACUCUUUCCUAGUUCUUUUUGUUGCUCUCUUAAAUAAUUUCCUUCAUGAAUUUAUAUGGACAAUUUUCUCCCAGCAGAGGAUCAUUUACUA
rnacentral:lncRNA from 1 species